UACGGAAGGCAGCAGUGGGGAAUAUUGCACAAUGGGCGCAAGCCUGAUGCAGCCAUGCCGCGUGUAUGAAGAAGGCCUUCGGGUUGUAAAGUACUUUCAGUCGUGAGGAAGGUGUUAAGGUUAAUAACCUUAGCAAUUGACGUUAGCGACAGAAGAAGCACCGGCUAACUCCGUGCCAGCAGCCGCGGUAAUACGGAGGGUGCGAGCGUUAAUCGGAAUUACUGGGCGUAAAGGGCACGCAGGCGGUUAAUUAAGUUGGAUGUGAAAUCCCCGGGCUUAACCUGGGAAUGGCAUUCAAGACUGGUUAGCUAGAGUCUUGUAGAGGGGGUAGAAUUCCAUGUGUAGCGGUGAAAUGCGUAGAGAUGUGGAGGAAUACCGGUGGCGAAGGCGGCCCCUGGGACAAAGACUGACGCUCAUGUGCGAAAGCGUGGGGAGCAAACAGGGAUUUAGAUA
rnacentral:rRNA from 1 species